CUACGGGCGGCAGCAGUGAGGAAUAUUGCGCAAUGGGGGCAACCCUGACGCAGCGACGCCGCGUGGAUGAUGAAGGCCUUCGGGUUGUAAAAUCCUGUCAGAUGGGAAGAAGUGUGUAUUAUCUAAUAUAUGAUACAUUUGACGGUACCAUCAAAGGAAGCACCGGCUAACUCCGUGCCAGCAGCCGCGGUAAUACGGAGGGUGCGAGCGUUGUUCGGAAUUACUGGGCGUAAAGCGCGCGUAGGCGGCGUUGUACGUCAGAUGUGAAAGCCCACGGCUCAACCGUGGACGUGCAUUUGAAACUGCAAUGCUUGAGUACUGGAGGGGGUAGUGGAAUUCCCGGUGUAGAGGUGAAAUUCGUAGAGAUCGGGAGGAAUACCGGUGGCGAAGGCGACUGCCUGGCCAGAUACUGACGCUGAGGUGCGAAAGCGUGGGGAGCAAACAGGAUUAGAUACCCUCGUAGUC
rnacentral:rRNA from 1 species